AUUGAACGCUGGCGGCAUGCCUUACACAUGCAAGUCGAACGGCAGCACGGGAGCAAUCCUGGUGGCGAGUGGCGAACGGGUGAGUAAUGUAUCGGAACGUGCCCAGUCGUGGGGGAUAACGCAGCGAAAGCUGUGCUAAUACCGCAUACGAUCUAUGGAUGAAAGCGGGGGAUCGCAAGACCUCGCGCGAUUGGAGCGGCCGAUAUCAGAUUAGGUAGUUGGUGAGGUAAAGGCUCACCAAGCCGACGAUCUGUAGCUGGUCUGAGAGGACGACCAGCCACACUGGGACUGAGACACGGCCCAGACUCCUACGGGAGGCAGCAGUGGGGAAUUUUGGACAAUGGGCGCAAGCCUGAUCCAGCAAUGCCGCGUGCAGGACGAAGGCCUUCGG
rnacentral:rRNA from 1 species